CACGGACCAAGGAGUCUAGACUGUGCGCGAGUCAAAGGGCUGGCUAAACCCCAAGGCGAAACGAAAGUGAAAAUGAUGCUUUUUUUUGUUUUCAUCGGGCCGAUCCGGUUCGUCGCGGAUGGCGGGGGACUUUUCGCCCCCGUUCUUCCCUUCGAUUCGUCACGGUGUACACGUGGACGGCGCAGGCCCGGGGCUCGCUUUUGCUUCCUCCGCCGUCGUUAAGGCUCGGGAGUCGCCGUUCUAACGAGAGGUUGGCGCUGUAGCGGAAGGAGGAGGAGGAGGAGGGAUUCGCGUCCUUUUUCCUCUCUUCGUGUUCGCUCGCCCGAUCUCCUCGAUAGCGGACCUUCUCCGCGCCGGCGGCGGACGAGCGGCGGGUUCUCCGAGCGCACAAUCUGGUACCCGAAAGAUGGUGAUCUAUGCCUGGCGAGGAUGAAGCCAGAGGAAACUCUGGUGGAAGUCCGUAGCGAUUCUGACGUGCAAAUCGAUCGUCGGAGC
rnacentral:rRNA from 1 species